rnacentral:rRNA from 1 species
GGCAACCCUGACGGAGCAACGCCGCGUGGGGGAGGAAGGUCUGUGGAUUGUAAACCCCUUUUCUCUGGGAAGAAGUUCUGACGGUACCUGAGGAAUCAGCCUCGGCUAACUCCGUGCCAGCAGCCGCGGUAAUACGGAGGAGGCAAGCGUUAUUCGGAAUUAUUGGGCGUAAAGCGUCCGCAGGGGGCUCAUCAAGUCUGCUGUCAAAGGUCGGAGCUCAACUCCGGUUCGGCAGUGGAAACUGGUGGGCUAGAGGGCGACAGGGGUAGAGGGAAUUCCCAGUGUAGCGGUGAAAUGCGUAGAGAUUGGGAAGAACACCGGUGGCGAAAGCGCUCUACUGGGUCGCACCUGACCCUCAGGGACGAAAGCUAAGGUAGCG